CCGAGGGCACGUCUGCCUGGGUGUC
rnacentral:siRNA from 1 species